AACGAACGCUGGCGGCAGGCCUAACACAUGCAAGUCGAGCGGAUGUAGCAAUACAUCAGCGGCGCACGGGUGAGUAACGCGUGGGAACCUGCCCUUUGGUACGGAACAACCCUGGGAAACUAGGGCUAAUACCGAAUACGCCUCGAGAGAGGGAAAGAUUUAUCGCCGAAGGAGGGCCGCGUCCGAUUAGCUAGUUGGUGGGUAAAGGCCGUAACCAAGGCUACGAUCGGUAGCCGGUCUGAGAGGACGA
rnacentral:rRNA from 1 species